GACGAACCGUGCGAACGUUGUUCGGAUUCACUGGGCUUAAAGGGCGCGUAGGCGGGUUCCCAAGUCGGGGGUGAAAUCCCACGGCCCAACCGUGGAAGAGCUUCCGAUACUGGGAGUCUGGAGGGAGGUAGGGGCGUGUGGAACUUCCGGUGGAGCGGUGAAAUGCGUAGAUAUCGGAAGGAACGCCGGUGGCGAAAGCGACGCGCUGGACCUCUUCUGACGCUGAGGCGCGAAAGCCAGGGGAGCAAACGGGAUUAGAUACCCCGGUAGUCCUGGCCCUAAACGAUGGGUACUAGGUAGUGGGCCUGGCAUGGGCUCCCUGCCGAAGCGAAAGUGCUAAGUACCCCGCCUGGGGAGUAUGGUCGCAAGGCUGAA
rnacentral:rRNA from 1 species